rnacentral:rRNA from 1 species
UACGGGGGGGGCAAGCGUUGUUCGGAAUUACUGGGCGUAAAGGGCUCGUAGGCGGCCAACUAAGUCCGACGUGAAAUCCCCAGGCUUAACCUGGGAACUGCGUCGGAUACUGGAUGGCUUGAAUCCGGGAGAGGGAUGCGGAAUUCCAGGUGUAGCGGUGAAAUGCGUAGAUAUCUGGAGGAACACCGGCGGCGAAGGCGGCAUCCUGGACCGGCAUUGACGCUGAGGAGCGAAAGCCAGGGGAGCAAACGGG